GAUGAACGCUGGCGGCGUGCCUAAUACAUGCAAGUCGAGCGAACAGACGAGGAGCUUGCUCCUCUGACGUUAGCAGCGGACGGGUGAGUAACACGUGGAUAACCUACCUAUAAGACUGGGAUAACUUCGGGAAACCGUAGCUAAUACCGGAUAAUAUUUUGAACCGCAUGGUUCAAUAGUGAAAGACGGUUUUGCUGUCACUUAUAGAUGGAUCCGCGCCGCAUUAGCUAGUUGGUAAGGUAACGGCUUACCAAGGCAACGAUGCGUAGCCGACCUGAGAGGGUGAUCGGCCACACUGGAACUGAGACACGGUCCAGACUCCUACGGGAGGCAGCAGUAGGGAAUCUUCCGCAAAGGGCGAAAGCCUGACGGAGCAACGCCGCGUGAGUGAUGAAGGUCUUCGGAUCGUAAAACUCUGUUAUUAGGGAAGAACAAAUGUGUAAGUAACUAUGCACGUCUUGACGGUACCUAAUCAGAAAGCCACGGCUAACUACGUG
rnacentral:rRNA from 1 species